rnacentral:rRNA from 1 species
GGAUAACCUACCCUUAGGACCGGGAUAACCUUGGGAAACUGAGGAUAAUACUGGAUAGGCAAUUAUUCCUGGAAUGGUUUUUUGUUUAAAUGUUUUUUCGCCUAAGGAUGGGUCUGCGGCCGAUUAGGUAGUUGGUUAGGUAACGGCUUACCAAGCCAUUGAUCGGUACGGGUUGUGAGAGCAAGAGCCCGGAGAUGGAACCUGAGACAAGGUUCCAGGCCCUACGGGGUGCAGCAGGCGCGAAACCUCCGCAAUGUGAGAAAUCGCGACGGGGGGAUCCCAAGUGCCAUUCUUAACGGGAUGGCUUUUCAUUAGUGUAAAGAGCUUUUGGAAUAAGGGCUGGGCAAGACCGGUGCCAGCCGCCGCGGUAACACCGGCAGCUCUAGUGGUAGCAGUUUUUAUUGGGCCUAAAGCGUCCGUAGCCGGUUUAAUAAGUCUCUGGUGAAAUCCUGUAGCUUAACUGUGGGAAUUGCUGGAGAUACUAUUAGACUUGAGACCGGGAGAGGUUAGAGGUACUCCCAGGGUAGAGGUGAAAUUCUGUAAUCCUGGGAGGACCGCCUGUUGCGAAGGCGUCUAACUGGAACGGUUCUGACGGUGAGGGACGAAAGUUAGGGGCGCGAACCGGAUUAGAUACCCGGGUAGUCCUAACCGUAAACGAUGCGGACUUGGUGUUGGGGUGGCUUUGAGCUGCUCCA